AGCAGAGUAAGCUAUUCAAGCUAGCGGGUUCAUACCCCGAAAAAGAGAUUUCUCCUCUACUA
rnacentral:tRNA from 1 species